CCCAAAAUCGAUUCCCCCCACCCCCAGAAAUCCCGCCUGAAAUCUCUUCUUCUUUUUUCCCCAUUUUAUUUUUUCCCAAACUAUAUUGUUGCAAACUCGUAAGAAGAUUCAAAAGAAAUUGAAGAUAAGAGGAUACAGCUUGAAGACGGAUGGUCUUGAUGAGAUUCUCUCCUUCGUCAAUCGCUUCCAAGAUGCUGAAGAUGAGGCUAUUGAUCUCCUCCUCGACUAGCUCGAUCACCAAUCCUUAUUUUUUUAAUUGUAAGCAGUGAAUUCUUCCAUAAUCGACAAGGAGGCGGUGCACCAAGUAGUCAGUCUUCUAUUGGAUGCUGGAGCAGCUGAGGAAGAGAUCUGUUUGUAUAUGCGGAUGUAAUUCUUGCAGAAAUCUCCUUGUUGGAAAUCCAGAGACUUAAUUCGUUACGGAACACUUUGAUAAUUAGUAAAAGCAAGUAUAAAAUUUCGGAGGAGCUUGGAGAUGGUACCUGUGGUAGUGUGUUCAAAGCCUUCAAUAUAGAAACAUUUGAGAUUACGGAGAAAGCAAUUCUCAAACAACCCAAGGUGUUUUUAAGAAUGUGAAAAGCCAAUGAAGCAAGGAGUUCUCACUACUGGACGUGUUCGUCUUCUGCUUCACAGAGGUCUGUGGACUUUGAAAUAUUUUUCAAAGGCUAUAUAUUAUCUGGAAAAGGGGGAAUCUGUUUUUGUGGCGACACAUACAUCUGCUGGAAAGACAGUUGUAGCAGAAUAUGCAUUUGCUUUGGCAUCAAAAUUACAUUAGUUAUUUUGGUUUUUUGCUUGUAAAUCUAUAGAUUUUUUGAUUUUUUGUUAGCUGGAGAUGUGACAAAUUGCUCACAUUGAUUAAGAACCUCAGGCCAUAUCUUUUUUAUUUUCAAGUUUCUGAAUUUCUAUGCUGAAUUUGGUUUAGUUUCAAGAUUUUUGAUAAGUUUUCAUGUUAUGCAGCAUUGCACUAGAGCUGUGUAUACUGCUCCAAUUAAAACAAUCAGCAACCAGAUGUAUAGAGAUUUCUGUGGGAAGUUUGAUGUUGGCCUUCUCACAGGUGAUGUUAGUUUGAGACCAGAGGCUUCUUGUCUCAUCAUGACAACUGAAUUGUUAAGGUCAAUGCUUUAUAUAGGUGCAGAUAUUAUUCGCGA